UGUGGUAGAGCGCUCAGUGGUAGAGCGCUCGCCUAGCAUGUGUGAGGCACUGGGUUCGAUUCUCAGCACCAUAU
rnacentral:tRNA from 1 species